rnacentral:rRNA from 1 species
GAUGAACGCUGGCGGCGUGCCUAAUACAUGCAAGUAGAACGCUGAAGGAAGGAGCUUGCUCUUUCCGGAUGAGUUGCGAACGGGUGAGUAACGCGUAGGUAACUUGCCUGGUAGCGGGGAUAACUAUUGGAAACGAUAGCUAAUACCGCAUAACAGUAGAUGUUGCAUGAUAUCUACUUAAAAGGUGCAAUUGCACCACUACCAGAUGGACCUGCGUUGUAUUAGCUAGUUGGUGAGGUAACGGCUCACCAAGGCGACGAUACAUAGCCGACCUGAGAGGGUGAUCGGCCACACUGGGACUGAGACACGGCCCAGACUCCUACGGGAGGCAGCAGUAGGGAAUCUUCGGCAAUGGACGGAAGUCUGACCGAGCAACGCCGCGUGAGUGAAGAAGGGUUUCGGAUCGUAAAGCUCUGUUGUAAGAGAAGAACGAGUGUGAGAGUGGAAAGUUCACACUGUGACGGUAUCUUACCAGAAAGGGACGGCUAACUACGUG